rnacentral:rRNA from 1 species
GACGAACCGUGCGAACGUUGUUCGGAAUCACUGGGCUUAAAGGGCGCGUAGGCGGGCGGUCAAGUCAGAGGUGAAAUCCCACGGCUCAACCGUGGAAGUGCCCCUGAUACUGACUGUCUCGAGGGAGGUAGGGGCGUGCGGAACUUCCGGUGGAGCGGUGAAAUGCGUAGAUAUCGGAAGGAACACCGAUGGCGAAAGCAGCGCGCUGGACCUCUACUGGCGCUGAGGCGCGAAAGCCAGGGGAGCAAACGGG